GAUCAUGGCUCAGAUUGAACGCUGGCGGCAGGCCUAACACAUGCAAGUCGAGCGGUAGAGAGAAGCUUGCUUCUCUUGAGAGCGGCGGACGGGUGAGUAAUGCCUAGGAAUCUGCCUGGUAGGGGGGGAUAACGUUCGGAAACGGACGCUAAUACCGCAUACGUCCUACGGGAGAAAGCAGGGGACCGUCGGGCCUUGCGCUAUCAGAUGAGCCUAGGUCGGAUUAGCUAGUUGGUGGGGUAAUGGCUCACCAAGGCGACGAUCCGUAACUGGUCUGAGAGGAUGAUCAGUCACACUGGAACUGAGACACGGUCCAGACUCCUACGGGAGGCAGCAGUGGGGAAUAUUGGACAAUGGGCGAAAGCCUGAUCCAGCCAUGCCGCGUGUGUGAAGAAGGUCUUCGGAUUGUAAAGCACUUUAAGUUGGGAGGAAGGGUUGUAGAUUAAUACUCUGCAAUUUUGACGUUACCGACAGAAUAAGCACCGGCUAACUCUGUGCCGGCAGCCGCGGUAAUACAGGGGGUGCAAGCGUUAAUCGGAAUUACUGGGCGUAAAGCGCGCGUAGGUGGUUAGUUAAGUUGGAUGUGAAAUCCCCGGGCUCAACCUGGGAACUGCAUUCAAAACUGACUGACUAGAGUAUGGUAGAGGGUGGUGGAAUUUCCUGUGUAGCGGUGAAAUGCGUAGAUAUAGGAAGGAACACCAGUGGCGAAGGCGACCACCUGGACUGAUACUGACACUGAGGUGCGAAAGCGUGGGGAGCAAACAG
rnacentral:rRNA from 1 species